AAUUUUAUCACAUAUUUUAUUAUAACAGACUUUUCCAUAAACUUGACUUUUUUUUUUUACCGGUACCUAAAUCCGAACUACAUCCGUAACGUUAACAGUAUGCCACUACAAAUAGUUCCUAGGGAAAUAUAAAUAAAAAUGAAUAUCGAUUGUCAUAAUGUUUAAUUCAUAAAUGAGCAUUUUUAAAUGAGAAAAGCUUCACAUUUCAGAACGUUUUACUUUGGCGAUGAAAUUCCACCAUGUAUAUUAUCAGUAAGAGAAUUUUAUGUUUUCUGUGACAUGGAGGGUCGUGGAGCUUUAUUUGUCAGAGGUAAUUGUGUUUCUUAUAUCUGUAUUUUUAUGCCCCCGAGAUCGAAGAUCGGGGGGGCAUAUUGUUUUUGUCCUGUCUGUCAUUCUGUCUGAAACUUUAACCUUGCUAAUAACUUUUGAACAGUAAGUGAUAGAGCUUUGAUAUUUCACAUGAGUAUUCCUUGUGACCAGACCUUUCCGUGGGUACCAUUUUUGAUCCCUUGACCUUGGAAUUUGACCUACUUUUUGAAAACGUUAACCUUGCUAAUAACUUUUGAACAAUAAGUGCUAGAGCUUUGAUAUUUCACAUGAGUAUUCCUUGUGACAAGACCUUUUCGUGGGUAUUGAACCUUUUGAUCUUGACAUUUGACCUACUUUUAAUUUUUUUUUUACAUUGGUCAUAACUUCUAAAGCUUUAAUAUUGUACAUGAGCAUUUCUUUUGACAAGAUCUUUCUACUGGUACCAAUAUAGUUGCCCUUGUGACCUUGGUCAUCUUCGGAAUUGGCCAUUAUCGGGGGCAUUUGUGUUUCACAAACACAUCUUGUUUAAAAAAGUGAUGGAAUCGCUGUGUUUGCAGUUGAAUGUGGCGUAUCCCGGGUUCAUUUGGUGCAUGGAGUAGGAACGUUGAUAUCCACUAAAUAUAUACUAGAUGAAGGGGUGAAUACGUGAUAAAGGAUCUUUGUGUGUUCGCUUCCUAAUGUGAACUAUCGGGUUCUCUAAACUCAUAAAGAUUUACACACUAAGACAUGAUUAGUUAUGAGAAUGGGUCAAUAAAACGGGUUUUCAUUUCGAGUUUUUUAGAAUUUUUUUUUUUACAAUUAAGGUAGCGACGGAUAGCAACCACGUGAUCAGUAAAAAUUGUGUAUGUUCACGUGAAUUCAUUUUCCGGAAUUCCUUACUCCGUCAUAGAAUAGUCGAAAAACAAAAAGGGGUUCCGAAAGUGUUUUGUUGCUGUGACUGACUCGCCUACAGAAAAUAUGCACAUACCACAUAAGUAUACGUCAAUGUCUGUAAUAAUGGUAGAUCAAAUGUUUCAUCUGUGUGAAACUUUUUGCUAAUCGAAAUGUUAAACCAACCACCAAUCCAUGUACAUAGAUGCGCUACGUAAACAAAGUUGUUGAUUGAUGCAUCGUAAUGUCCGAGUGCUGCAUGCUGAGAUAUUAAAUACUGUUUAUACAGUCAUUGAGAGGCUAAACAAAGUUUCUUGCAAGAAGAGGAAGUUGGUGGAUGCAUUCAACUUGGACAACGAAAUCAUAGUUUCGUUUGGUGAGUGAAAAAAAUGCCAUAAAUUUGUAUUCAAAAGUUCAACUCACAUUUCCUCUGCUAUUUCACAACGCGAUUUAUAAUAACAUCUGUAAGUUUAAACACACGACAUACAGUAGAUGUAUUAUUUUGUAUGUAUAUAUGUAUUCCAUAUGUGCAUAAAAUAUAACUCCCACCUGUGCAUGUAAUUGUAAACGAACGGAUGUCAUGUAAAUGUAUACCACAUUUGUAAACAUGGGCUCUCACAACUCUUAAAAUAAUAAUAUCGUUAUGAAAAUAACCGUUACGAAAAUAACAUACCUUGAACUACCUGUAUAAAAGUAAUGAAAAACAAAUAUCUGUAUAGACCUACUAUCUAGGGGUAUGAGGGAACCGGAUAAAAAGUGGAAAGGGGGGGGGGGCAUGUGUUGAAUUAUAAUUCCCUAGACUAUAGUAUACAUAUACUAUUACUUUGAAAUUUCAGUGACCUAAGAAAUAUAUCAAACCUGAAGUUUCGUGUUUCACACAAACAUGUAGGUUGGCAAAACCUUUUUAAAUAAUGUAAAUUAAUCACAAGUCUGCAUAUGCCCUCUCAUAGGCAAAUGUAUGCACUGUAUGUAUAAGUAAGAUAUGUAUACUACACGUAUGCCCUUCUCUUGACCCACAUUUUGUAAAUAAAACAGAUAUGAUAAGUCUAUGGCAGUUUAUGAAAACAUAUAUACAUGUCAUCUCAUUGCAAUUUAUAAUUUUGAAACAUCAGUAUUUAAAUUUUAACUGAAUAUGUGUUGAGACACAGUUUUAAAAUUCACAUUGUCUGACGCAAUCUAAUUACUCAAUGGUAUAAUAUAGACCUAACUGUGCAAAUAUCAAUUAUGAUGAUCUUUUUUCUAGGCAUCAGCCUGAAGACCGAGGGAGGUUAGAUAGGACCAGUGCAGGUUGAAGUGGAUUUCGAGCCAACAAGUAUAACAGCAAGAGAGGUACUCCAUUUACAGUGAUGAUGACAUAUCCCCUGGACCCCCACAACUCCACAAACUUAAAAAUGUUUGAUCAAGUUCCGAAGAUUAAAGAACUACUGCAAAAUUUGGGACUGGAUGAAAAACAUUAAUUCACUUAUAUGAGCUCAGAGCAGUGGAUGUUAUACAACAUACUUUAAACUAAAUUGUGAAUUUAAGGGAAAACAAGAUCAUGUACUCGUAUAUUACAAGUACAUGCCUUUUGAAAGACAAUAAUAUUGCAUAGAUGUAAAGGAAAUUUCAAUGUUGAUUAUUCUUUCUUAGAUAUAUUAGUAAAAAAUGUGCACAUGAUAGAAUAUCAAUUUUAUAACUUCAAUCAAUGUGUUUGAAUUUUCCUUGUAAUUCAAAAUUUAGUUGAAACAUACAUCAUAGAUACAUUAAUGUAUAUCAAUUUUUUAGAAAAGUUUCAUAAUGGAACUAAUUCACACACCCCCCCCCCCCUUAUACAUACAGUGAACAUAGACCUUCACCUGGGGAAAACUUCAGUUAGUUAAUGCAAUAUACAUGUACAUGCAUUCUCAGUUAUCCAAUAGUGAGUUUUUGGUUCCAUGUGAAACUACAAUUAGAAAUCUUAAACUUAUGAAAGACACACCUAUCUGUGAGGGUAAGAUGACUCAGAUGGACUUACAUGUAGUGAUCCAUGGGCAGUCCAUGGGUCUCUUUCCAUUGAUAUUAAUUAUUUAUUGAAAUAUGAAAUGGUUAUUUAAACAUAUUUGGUGUAUUAUACUGUAUAGUGUUAUAAAUUUCUAUCAAAAAAUAUGUAUAGGUAAUAGAUUUGGUCCAGUUAUUACAAGAAAUUGUAUAAAAAAUAACUAAAUAUUUAGGCAAUCAUUGUGAGUGCGAAAAUGUCAACUGCAAUAGCACACACUAUAUAUCAUUCUUAAAUGGCUCAUAGAAACUUCUAGUAUUGUGAGUUUGAAUGCUCAAUAUGGUAAUUUGGGAAUGCUUAAUCAUUUAAGGUCAAUAGUUUAUCUCUGCUGACUGUAUCUCUUAAAAUUCAUUUUUAGAAGGGAGGGGGUAGGGUUACAAAAUCUGACAUAGUUUCAGAUUAAACCUCAUUUGGUAUAUUUUUUUCUAUUCAAUAUUUUAGAUACUACUUGACUUAUUGUAAAAAUGAAAUAAAAUCAGAAAUUUUAUGAGCAGAAUUUUUUUGUUGUCAGAAAAUGUAUGCCUGAUAGUAUUUGAGAAACGCCAUAUUUAGGGUAAAUUUGGCCAAUUGCCAAGUCGAAUCAUGCCAAUGUUUUCCUUAGAUGCAUUUUGAAUUUCUAAUCCAUGUUGAUUUUUUAUCUGUUUGUGUUUAAUUUACAUAACUAUAUAUGACAAACAAUAUUUCUGGUGUCAAUAAAAUUUUAUUGGC